AGUAGACUUUGCUUUGAGGGGUUACAACCCUUUAGUUAAUUAUUUUGAUACUUGGUUAUAUGUAAGUCUGUGCAACCUUGGCAUGGUAAUAGGAUUGAUUUUUCUAACAUUAACCCUCAGGUCUUGAGGACAUUGUGAUUACUUGUUUUUCCCAUUGUUUUGUAAGUUUUGAUUCAAGGAUGAAUCAUUUUCAAGAAGGGGAGAAUGAUACAAGCCAAACCGACUUCAACUCUUCUUGGUCUAUAUUUCAAGGAAAACACCAAUAAAUUCAAGCCAUGAAGAUCUUGAGGCUACACAGACGUGUUUGGAGGACUCCUGUUUAGCUGUAACUGGAGCAAUACAACAUAUGGAUAAUAGCUUCGGCCGAGGGAAGCAUGGCAUAAUGAAUAAGGAGAGCCCCUGUGGAUUAUUUUUGAAAUAGCUAAUUUGGGCUUAUUUUUGUUUUAGGUUAUUUGUGUAAAGACAAAUACUCUGAGUAGGUUCCUUAGCCAUUUCAUUUUAUUAGUUUUUGAUAAAUAUUGUUGUUAUUAAAUUCGUGAG
rnacentral:lncRNA from 1 species